rnacentral:rRNA from 1 species
UGACAUGAGUAACGAUAAUGCGGGUGAAAAGCCCGCACGCCGAAAGCCCCAGGUUUCCUUGCGCAACGUUCAUCGGCGCAGGGUGAGUCGGCCCCUAAGACGAGGCGGAAACGCGUAGUCGAUGGGAAGCUGGUUAAUAUUCCAGCACCUCGCGUGAGUGCGAUGAGGGGACGGAGAAGGAUAGGUGUACCGGGCGUUGGUUGUCCCGGGGAAAGGAGGUAGGUGGAUCCCUUAGGCAAAUCCGGGGGGUCAUACACCGAGCACCGAGACGAGGUCUUCGGACCGAAGUCACUGAGUCCACGCUUCCAGGAAAAGCCUCUAAGCUUCAGCUCACGAAGACCGUACCGCAAACCGACACAGGUAGGCAGGGUGAGAAUCCCAAGGCGCUUGAGAGAACUCGGGUGAAGGAACUAGGCAACAUAGCACCGUUACUUCGGGAGAAGGUGCACCCAAGAGUGUGGCUACAUGCGUAGCUGAGCACUCCUGGGUCGCAGUGACCAGGCCGCUGCGACUGUUUAUCAAAAACACAGCACUCUGCAAACACGAAAGUGGACGUAUAGGGUGUGACGCCUGCCCGGUGCCGGAAGGUUAAUUGAUGGGGUCAGCGCAAGCGAAGCUCUUGACCGAAGCCCCGGUAAACGGCGGCCGUAACAAUAACGGUCCUAAGGUAGCGAAAUUCCUUGUCGGGUAAGUUCCGACCUGCACGAAUGGCGUAACGACAGCGGCGCUGUCUCCACCCGAGACUCAGUGAAAUUGAAAUCGCUGUGAAGAUGCAGCGUUCCCGCGGCAAGACGGAAAGACCCCGUGAACCUUUACUAUAGCUUUACAUUGAACGUUGAGUUCGUCUGUGUAGGAUAGGUGGGAGCCUUUGAAGUUUGGGCGCUAGCUCAGAUGGAGGCAACCUUGAAAUACCACCCUGAUGUGCUUGACGUUCUAACCUCGGCCCGUUAUCCGGGUCAGGGACCAUGUAUGGUGGGUAGUUUGACUGGGGCGGUCUCCUCCCAAAGAGUAACGGAGGAGCUCGAAGGUACGCUCAGCGCGGUCGGACAUCGCGCACUGUGUGCAAAGGCAUAAGCGUGCUUGACUGCAAGAUCGACGGAUCAAGCAGGUAGGAAACUAGGACUUAGUGAUCCGGUGGUUCUGUAUGGAAGGGCCAUCGCUCAACGGAUAAAAGGUACUCCGGGGAUAACAGGCUGAUACCGCCCAAGAGUUCAUAUCGACGGCGGUGUUUGGCACCUCGAUGUCGGCUCAUCGCAUCCUGGGGCUGUAGUCGGUCCCUAGGGUAUGGCUGCUCGCCAUUUAAAGCGGUACGCGAGCUGGGUUCAGAACGUCGUGAGACAGUUCGGUCCCUAUCUGUCGUGGGCGUUGGAGGUUUGAGAGGGGCUGCUCCUAGUACGAGAGGACCGGAGUGGACGUAUCUCUGGUGUUCCGGUUGUCACGCCAGUGGCACUGCCGGGUAGCUAUAUACGGAAGAGAUAACCGCUGAAAGCAUCUAAGCGGGAAACUCGCCUCAAGAUGAGACCUCCCGGGGCACAAGCCCCCUAAAGGAACGAUGAAGACUACGUCGUUGAUAGGCUGGGUGUGUACAACCGCAAGGUUUAGCUAACCAGUACUAAUGAUCCGUGUGGCUUGACC